UGUUUCGGCUAGGGGGCCAUCCCGGCUUACCAACCCGAUGCAAACUGCGAAUACCGGAGAAUGUUAUCACGGGAGACACACGGCGGGUGCUAACGUCCGUCGUGAAGAGGGAAACAACCCAGACCGCCAGCUAAGGUCCCAAAGUCAUGGUUAAGUGGGAAACGAUGUGGGAAGGCCCAGACAGCCAGGAUGUUGGCUUAGAAGCAGCCAUCAUUUAAAGAAAGCGUAAUAGCUCACUGGUCGAGUCGGCCUGCGCGGAAGAUGUAACGGGGCUAAACCAUGCACCGAAGCUGCGGCAGCGACACUGUGUGUUGUUGGGUAGGGGAGCGUUCUGUAAGCCGUUGAAGGUGUCCUGUGAGGGGUGCUGGAGGUAUCAGAAGUGCGAAUGCUGACAUAAGUAACGAUAAAGCGGGUGAAAAGCCCGCUCGCCGGAAGACCAAGGGUUCCUGUCCAACGUUAAUCGGGGCAGGGUGAGUCGACCCCUAAGGCGAGGCCGAAAGGCGUAGUCGAUGGGAAACGGGUUAAUAUUCCCGUACUUGGUGUUACUGCGAAGGGGGGACGGAGAAGGCUAUGUUGGCCGGGCGACGGUU
rnacentral:rRNA from 1 species